AGUGAACGCUGGCGGCAGGCCUAACACAUGCAAGUCGAACGGUAACACAGUAAGAGCUUGCUCUUACUGGUGACGAGUGGCGGACGGGUUCGGAACGCAUCGGAAUCUACUUUUUCGUGGGGGGUAACGUAGGGUAACUUACGCUAAUACCUCAUGCUACCUGCGGGUGAAAGAAGGGGAACUUCGGACCUUGCGCGUUUGAAUGGGCCGAUGUCGGAUUAGCUAGUUGGCGGGGUAAAGGCCCACCAAGGCGACGAUCCGUAGCUGGUCUGAGAGGAUGAUCAGCCACACUGGAACUGAGACACGGUCCAGACUCCUACGGGAGGCAGCAGUGGGGAAUAUUGGACAAUGGGCGCAAGCCUGAUCCAGCCAUACCGCGUGGGUGAAGAAGGCCUUCGGGUUGUAAAGCCCUUUUGUUGGGAAAGAAAAGCAGCAGGUUAAUACCGCGCUGUUCUGACGGUACCCAAAGAAUAAGCACCGGCUAACUUCGUG
rnacentral:rRNA from 1 species